rnacentral:lncRNA from 1 species
CUUCCUCUACAGUUUUCCUGACUGCUACAUUUCAUGAGAAGGGAUUGUUUAUGAGGGUCAAGGAGCUGGAGGCCUGGGGAGGAGCUGGUGUUUCUGUUCAAGUUUGAGGGUCCUGGAGCUGGAGUCCAGGGGAGGAGCCGGUGCUGCCACUGAUGUCUUAGGGUCGUGGAGCUGAAGAUCCCAGAGGAGCCGGUGCUGCUAUUCUAGCUUGAGUUUCGUGGAGCUGGAGACCCAGGGAGAAGAUGGUGCUGCUGUUCUAAUUUAAGGAUCGUGAAACAGAAGACCCAGAAAGGAGCUGGUGCUGCCGCUGCUCAGAUCUGAGGGUGUUGGAGCUGGAGACUUAGGGAGGAGACGUCUUGUUCUAGUUUCAGGGUCGUGGAGCUGCAGACUGAGGCAGGAGCAUUGUUGUUAUAGUUCGAGGGUCAGAAAGCUGGCGACCCAGGGAGGAGAGGUCUUGUUCUGGUCUGAGGGUCGUGGAGCUGCAGACCCAGGGAGGAGCAAUUUUGUUGUAGUUCGAGGGUCAGGAAGCUGGCGACCCAGGGAGGAGAGGUCUUCUUCUGGUGUGAGGGUCGUGGAGCUGCAGACGCAGGGAGGAGCAAUUUUGUUGUAGUUCGACGGUCAGGAAGCUGGCGACCCAGGGAGAGGUCUUGUACUAGUCUGAGGGUCGUGGAGCUGCAGACCCAGGGAGGGGCAAUGUUGUUGUAAUUCGAGGGUCUGGCAGCUGGCAACUCGGGGAGGAGAAGUCUUGUUGGAGUUUGAGGGUCGUGGAGCUGCCAACCCAGGGAGGAGCAAUUUUGUUGUAGUUCAAGGGUCCGGAAGCUGGCGACCCAGGGAGGAGAGGUCUUGAUCCGGUCUGAGGGUCGUGGAGCUACAGACCCAGGGUGGAGCAAUGUUGUUGUAGUUCGAGGGUCUGGUAGCUGGCAACUUGGGGAAGACAAGUCUUGUUCGAGUUCGAGGGUCGUGGAGCUGCAGACCCAGGGAGGAGCCAUUUUGUUGUAGUUCAAGGGUCCGGAAACUGGCGACCCAGGGAGGAGAGGUCUUGUUCUAGUUUCAGGGUCGUGGAGCUUCUGACCCAGGGAGGAGCAUUGUUGUUUUAGUUCGAGGGUCAGGAAGCUGGCGACCCAGGGAGGAGAGGUCUUGUUCUGGUUUGAGGGUCGUGGAGCCGCAGACCCAGGGAGGAGCAAUGUUGAUGUAAGUUGAAGGUCCGGUAGCUGGCACCCUGGGGAGGAGAAGUCUUGUUCGAGUUUGAGGGUCGUGGAGCUGCCGACCCAGGGAGGAGCAAUUUUGUUGUCGUUCGAGUGUCAGGAAGCUGGCGACUCAGGUAGGAGAAAUUUUGUUCUAGUUUCAGGGUUGUGGAGCUGCAGACCCAGGGAGGAGCAAGGUUGUUGUAAUUCGAGGGUCAGGAAGCUGGCGACCCAGGGAGGAGAGGUCUUGUUCUGGUCUGAGGGUCAUGGACCUGCAGACCCAGGGAGGAGCAGUGUUGUUGUAGUUUGAAGGUCAGGAAGCUGGCGGCCCAGGGAGGAGAGGUCUUGUUCUAGUUUGAGGGUCGUGGAGCUGCAGACCCAGGGAGGAGCCAUGUUGGUUUGAAUGUUGUGGAUCUGGAGAUCCACGGAGGAGCUGGUGCUGCCUUUGAAGUCUGAGAGUCACUGAGCUGGAGAUCCAGAGAGGAACCGGUGUUGCUGUUCUAGUCUGAACAGAUCUAGAGUUCUGGGGAGUUGCCGGUUCUGCCUCUCAAGUCUGAGAGUUGUUGAGCUGGAGAUUCAGGGAGGAGCCUGUGUUGCUGUUGUAGUUUGAGGGUCAUGGAGCUGCAGACUCAGGGAGGAGGGGUGCGGUUCUAGUCUGAGGGUUGUGGAGCUUGAGACACAGGGAGGAGCUGGUGCUGCUGUUGUUUAAGGCUGAGGGUUGUGGUGCUGGAGACCCAGGUAAGAGCUGGUGCUGCUGUUGUUUAAGGCUGAGGGUUGUGUAGCUGGACAGUGGGGAGGAGGUAGUCUUAGUGUCUAAUGUGAGGUUGGUGGAGCUGUGGACCUGGGGUGGGGCCGGUGCUACUGUGUAGUUUGAGGGUCAUGGAACUGGAGACCUAGGGAGGAGCUGGUGCUACCACCAUUUAAGUCAGAGGGUCAUGGAUCUGGAGCUUUGGGGAACAGCCCAUGCUGCUGUUUAACUGUGGGGAGGAUGUGCUGUGUCCAUUGAAGUUUGAGGGUUUGGGAGCUGGAGACCCAGGGAGGAGCUGAUGAUGCCAUUCUAUUUUGAGGGUCGUGGAUCUGGGGACCUGGGGAGAGGCUGGUACUGCUGUUGUAGUUUGAGGUUCGUGGAACUGGAGACAGGGGGAGGAGCCGGUGGUGCUGUUCAUGUCUGAGGGUUGUAGAGCUGGAGACCCAGGGAGAAGCCCGUACUACAGCUUUUUAAGUCUGAGGGUCGUGGAGCCUGAGACCUGGGGAGAGGCCAGUGCUGCUGUUCAAAUGGCUCCUUUCCGGGUCUCCAGCUCCAUGACCUUUAAACUAGGAGAGCAGCAGCAGCUCCUCCCGGGGUCUUCCAGCUCCAUGACCCUCACACUAGAACAGCAGCAGCAGCUCCUCCCGGGGUCUUCCAGCUCCAUGACCCUCACACUAGAACAGCAGCACCGGCUCCACCCUGGGUCUCCAGAUCCACGACCCUCAAAGUAGAACAGCAGCACUGACUCCUCCCCGGGUCUCCA